AUGGGAAGGAAACCAUCCAGCCACAUGGGAAAGAAACCCUCCAGCCACAUGGGAAGAGGGCCAUCCAGCCACAUGGGAAGGGGCCCAUCCAGCCACAUGGGAAGAGGGCCAUCCAGCCACAUGGGAAGGGGCCCAUCCAGCCACAUGGGAAGAGGGCCAUCCAGCCACAUGGGAAGGAAACCAUCCAGCCACAUGGGAAGGGGCCCAUCCAGCCACAUGGGAAGGUGGCCAUCCAGCCACAUAGGAAGGCGACCAUCCAGCCACAUGGGAAGGAAACCAUCCAGCUACAUGGGAAGGGGUUGUAGGCCAGUCCACAAGUGAGAAAACUGAAGUUCAGGUGUCAGAGCCAAGCGGUUGAGAUCAUUCUCUGAGUUCCAAGUGAAGGAUGGCCUCCCCUCUAACACAUGGAUGUCAGACAGACAGAGGGAUGGACACAUACCCAGAGGGCUGGCAGGAUGUGCCUGAGACUGCUCCAGCCCACAUUCCUCAGGACCUGGGAGGCCACCUGAGACAUGCCCAUGAGCCAGAGUAAACACUGAUGGGGAAGAAGGAGGAAGUAGGAGGCUUUGGGACUGCCAGGCUGCCCCAGGCAGGUCCCAGCAGCCCCGGAGUGGCCCGGUCAGCGAUCUCUCUCCUCAUUUUACAAGAUGAGGAAGUUGAGGCUAAAAGUAGAAGAAUGCUUGCUCGUGGCCAAGUCAAAGAGGGAACCAGGGGUUGAACUGCACCCCAACUGCCGUUAAAGGACUCCAAAGACAGUGGGGCGCGAUGGCCCGGGAGCCCCCACAUGGGCCCCCGGGGAGCAGCUCAAGGCCAGAAUCAUUCAUUCCCAAUGAAUGUUCUGCCUAGACACUUCGUUUUUUAAGCCCUUCCCUUCUAUCUUAGAAUCAAGAGUCUAUAUUGGUGUAAGGCAGAGGGCGGCAAGGGCUAGGCGACGACUUGCCCAAGGUCGGUUAGGAAAUGUGAGGCCGGACUCCAGGACUUCCCGUCCCAAGUCCGGCUCUCAAACCGUCCAGCCACCCAGCCGCCUCGCUCCCCAGACACUCCUAUGGGUGCCCAGCCAGUGACUUCUCGCCGUCCACGCCCUUCCCCCUUCUGUCCCGCGUCAACACAACCUCCUUCCUUCUGGCUCGGGCCCUCUUUGUCGUGGCCCUUCCAGAACAGGACGGCCCUCCCCCUUCUCGGGUCAUUCACUUAACCGUCCUGGUGUCCGGCGCAGUAACGUGGAAACGGCAGAGGGCAGGACCCGAGGGCCCCCCAGCCAAGAUUUGGAGGCAGCGCAGGGGAAGGAAGCAGCCUGGGGCCGGAGGCUCGGACUCACCAG
rnacentral:lncRNA from 1 species